AGCGAACGCUGGCGGCAGGCUUAACACAUGCAAGUCGAACGGGCAUCUUCGGAUGUCAGUGGCAGACGGGUGAGUAACACGUGGGAACGUACCCUUCGGUUCGGAAUAACUCAGGGAAACUUGAGCUAAUACCGGAUACGCCCUUUUGGGGAAAGGUUUACUGCCGAAGGAUCGGCCCGCGUCUGAUUAGCUUGUUGGUGGGGUAACGGCCUACCAAGGCGACGAUCAGUAGCUGGUCUGAGAGGAUGAUCAGCCACACUGGGACUGAGACACGGCCCAGACUCCUCCGGGGGGCAGCAGUGGGGAAUAUUGGACAAGGGGCGCAAGCCUGAUCCACCCAUGCCGGGGGAGUGAUGAAGGCCUUAGGUUUGAAAAGCUCUUUUUUCCGGGACGAUAAGGACGGUACCGGAAAAAAAAGCCCCGGCUAACUUCGU
rnacentral:rRNA from 1 species